rnacentral:rRNA from 1 species
GAUGAACGCUGGCGGCGUGCCUAAUACAUGCAAGUCGAGCGAACGGACGAGAAGCUUGCUUCUCUGAUGUUAGCGGCGGACGGGUGAGUAACACGUGUAUAACCUCCCUAUAAGACUGGUAUAACUUCGGGAAACCGGAGCUAAUACCGGAUAAUCUUUUGAACCGCAUGGUUCAAAAGUGAAAGACGGUCUUGCGGUCACUACUCGAUGGAUCCGCGCUGCAUUAGCUAGUUGUUAAGGUAACGGCUUACCAAGGCAACGAUGCAUAGCUGACCUGAGAGGGUGAUCGGCCACACUGGAACUGAGACACGGUCCAGACUCCUGCGGGAGGCAGCAGUAGGGAAUCUUCCGCAAUGGGCGAAAGCCUGACGGAGCAACGCCGCGUGAGUGAUGAAGGUCUUCGGAUCGUAAAACUCUGUUAUUAGGGAAGAACAUAUGUGUAAGUAACUGUGCACAUCUUGACGGUACCUAGUCAGAAAGCCACGGCUAACUACGUG